rnacentral:ncRNA from 1 species
GCUGCAGAGACAGAGGGUAAAAGGGAAACAGGUGCAAAUCCUGUACGAUCUCGUCACUGUGAUGGAGGAAUAGGAAAGCAAUGGUGCUGCGGCACCGGUCACUGGCUGUCUGGCUGGGAAGGCUGCUUCCUGUAUGGAUCCCUGAGUCAGGAAACCUGCCGCUUAUU